GAUGAAGAACGUAGCGAAAUGCGAUAAGUAAUGUGAAUUGCAGAAUUCAGUGAAUCAUCGAAUCUUUGGACGCACAUUGCGCCCGCCAGUAUUCUGGCGGGCAUGCCUGUUCGAGCGUCAUUUCAACCCUCAGGCCCCCAGUGCCUGGCGUUGGGGAUCGGCGUGGGCGGCGAACGGCUCUCCGGAGCCCGAGCCAAUGCCUGCCGGCCCCGAAAUUCAGUGGCGGUCUCGCUGUAGUCCCCCUCUGCGUAGUAGCACAACUCGCAUUGGAGCUCGGCGGUGGCCAUGCCGUAAAACACCCCACUUCUGAAAGUUGACCUCGGAUCAGGUAGGAAUACCCGCUGAACUUAAGCAUAUCAAUAAGCGGAGGA
rnacentral:misc_RNA from 1 species